rnacentral:rRNA from 1 species
UACAGAGGUGCCAAGCGUUAGGCGGAAUCACUGGGCUUAAAGCGCGUGUAGGUGGAUGGGUAAGUAUCUUGUGAAAUCCCACGGCUCAACCGUGGAACUGCUGGAUAUACUGCCUGUCUUGAGGCACUCAGGGGCAGCUGGAACAAAUGGUGGAGCGGUGAAAUGCGUAGAUAUCAUUUGGAACGCCAAUGGUGAAAACAGGUAGCUGGGGGUGUGCUGACGCUGAGACACGAAAGCCAGGGGAGCAAACGGG